rnacentral:rRNA from 1 species
AUUAUCCCAAGUAGCACGGGGCCCGAGAAAUCCCGUGUGAAUCUGUCAGGACCACCUGAUAAGCCUAAAUACUCCCAGAUGACCGAUAGCGGACAAGUACCGUGAGGGAAAGGUGAAAAGUACCCCGGGAGGGGAGUGAAAGAGUUCCUGAAACCGGUCGCAUGCAAGCCGUCAGAGCCUGUGUGGUGAUGGCGUGCCUUUUGAAGAAUGAGCCUGCGAGUCAGCGGCAUGUCGCGAGGUUAACCCGUGUGGGGUAGCCGUAGCGAAAGCGAGUCCGAAUAGGGCGAUUCCAGUCGCCGGGUCUAGACCCGAA